rnacentral:lncRNA from 1 species
AUGUUUAUCCGAAAUUUAAUGCCGCUCAUUUUGGGUUUUUUGCCCUUUUUGUUAAGUCACUGUUUUCUCUCACUGUUUCUUCCGUUAUUUCAGUUAGCGAGAGGGGAGCUCCAGAAAUCAUGCUCUCGGACCACAGUGGCACCGCUGGAAGGGAGCUGCCAGUUGCCAUGUCAGUGUAGGCCCUACCCACCGUUACCCCCUCCACCCCCUCCUCCACCACCCCCGAGGCUCCUGGCUCCAACUGGUGAGUAGUGCUACCCUCUAAUGUCUCUGCAGUACCUAAUUCAUAGUGUUCAGUCAUGUGACUAGUACACAGACCCGGAGGGUGGAACAUCCAUAGAACUGCAGCCUGUCAAUUUUCCAUCUGUUUCAAACCACGAAUAUUUAGACCACCUCUCAAAAGAAGAAAAACAAAGAUAUGUGAAGAAACUGCAAGAUUUUCGCAUGCUAUCCAUAUACAUUACCUGCCACAGUAUUUAAAUUACUAAAGACACCGGGACAUUUUAAAACACUUAAAGGGUUAGUUCAUCCAAAAAUCAAAAUUAAGCUGCGUUUUACUCACCCCCGAGGCAUCCUAGGUGUAUAUGACUUUCUUUUUUCAGACGAAUCCAGUCAGAGUAAUAUUAAAAAUUGUCUUUGAUCUUUAAAGCUCUAUCGUUGCAGUCAGCGGGUGUUGCAUUGCUUCAGUCCAAAAGACGUGAAAUAAAAAGCUUCCUGUCAUAAUAAAAGUGUCUCACAUGGCUCCGGGGGAUAAACAAAGGCCACCUGUAGCAAAUCAAUGCAUUUUUAUAAGAAAAAUAUCCAUAUUCAAAACAUAAUAAUCACUUGAAUCUAGCUUGCACCGAACAGUUGUACACAGAAGCAGUUCUGGGAACAUGAUGUAUGGGGUCAGCAUUGCGCAUGCGCCGGUGAGUCUCGUGAAAACCAACGUUUGUUUACAGGAUCAAAAGGAGUAAAGUUUCUUUACUUUAGCAAAGGGAAACCAGUCUCCUCUUGGCUUAUAUCGAAUUCCUCCGACAUUCUUCUUUACAAAUCCUCGUUUUGUACUUCUAAUUAGUGACCGUUGUUUUGUUUUGAUCUCUUCGCUGUGUUUCCUCGUGUAUCACUUCUGAGCGGUGCAUACGCAACCUUUCAACAGUGAGUGCAAGCUAUAUUCAAGUGAUUAUUACGUUUUGAAUAUGAAUUUUUUUCAAACAAAAACGCAUCGAUUUGAUACAGGAGGCCUUUGUUCACCCCCCGGAGCCGUGUGAGACACUUUUUUUAUGGAAGGGCACUUUUAAUUUCACGUCUUUUGGACUGAAGCAAUGCAACACCCGCUAACUGCAACGAUAGAGCUUGAAAGAUCAAAGACAAUUUUUAAUAUUACUCUGACUGGAUUCGUCUGAAGGAAGAAAGUCAUAUACACCUAGGAUGCCUGGGGGGUGAGUAAAAUGCAGCCCAAUUUUCAUUUUUGGGUGAACUAACACUUUAACAUAGCUUAAAAGGGAUAGUUCACCCAAAAUCAAAAGUCUGUUCUCAUUUAUUCACAGAUUUUUUGUUUAAUAUUGAAAGUAGAAAAAUGAGAUACGGCUCCUUUUUUUUUUGUGAAAAACAAGAAUUCGGCUUAAUUUUUAGUUUUUCGUUCAGGGGUAGAAAAAUGAAUAAACAGCUUGAAUAUUCGAUUUCUACACGUGGGCGGAAAUUAAAUGCCCCUUUCUGCUAAUUGUUCGGAAAAAAAAAUCAAACAGUCAUCAGUCCUUCUGCAGUUCCGCUAGGAAGAAUACUAGUCCUCUGCUGCUACUGGGGGGAUUUGCUAUAGCCUACCAUAUUUUCCAAACUGUAAAGUCACUUUUUAUCAUGAUACAUACUGUGAUUUAUUCUUAAGUGACUUAAAUAAUGCAUUUAACGUCAAAUAACCUUAAUGUAGACUUUUAAAAAUAUGCGAGUCAAGCAGCCUACUCGCUGUGUAUUGGUUCAUGUUUGUGGCAUACGCUGUUCAAGGAGACUGAGACGCGCUAAAGCAGGGCAUUCUGUUGUUUUCAAUAUUUUUCAAAGGGACGACAUUUUGUAGUCAUUUUGAAUGUACAUAAAUAAAAAUAUGCAUUUUACCAUAUGACUAUAAAUGACAACAUAUUAAAUUAUUUCCCCUCUUGAGGAACAAAUCCAAGUGAACCUCAACUAAUUCUUAUUAUUAAUUAAAUAAACUAUUUAGACUGCUGCAUAUUUCCUGUGCACUUCAAUACUGGUCUGUGCGUGACAGUAGUCGUGUUUUUCUGCGUUAUUUAACUAGGGUAACUAGUCAGAUGUUGUCCUAAAGGCUUAUUAGGUCUACCUUCUUUUUUUCGAAGCACACAUGUCCUGCUCGCACUUACCCAUUUAAUGUCAGAGAAUGUUGACUUUCACUUUUCCUUCUUUAAGCGGAUGCAAAUCUGUCAUAAAACAAUCAUAUGCAUCUCAUUGUGUAGUCUAUUCCAAACGUUCUGAAGUAUACAGUAAGGUUUGGUGAGAAACAAACCGAAAUGGCAAGUAAUUACAUUUAAGUAAAUCUUGUGUUGCAUUCCUGUGCGCGAGUGCACAGGAGCUCGCCCUUGACUCGUCACGUUUACCCACUUUAAAUAGUCAAGAGAAUAGUUGACUUUCACUUUUCCUUCUUUUAAACGGAUGCAAAUACUGUCAUAAAACAAUCAUAUGCAUCUCAUUGUGUAGUCUAUUCCAAACGUUCUGAAGUAUACAGUAAGGUUUGGUGAGAAACAAACCGAAAUGGCAAGUAAUUUACAUUUAAGUAAAUCUUGUGUUGCAUUCCUGUGCGCGAGUGCACAGGAGCUCGCACCAAGCACAAGUUUCAGACUAAAUCAGACUACAGUUACUUUUUAACAGAUUAUAUGAUUACAUAUUAUUCACAAAAUAGAAAUAAAUAAUUCAUCAUUUAUUGAUUCUCUCUAAUUCCUCUUUUUUAUCUUUUAAAUGUUCCUUUCUUAAAUAGUCUGCCGUUUAUAUACACUCAGAAAGUCUUCCAGUUUGAGGACAUUCGCACAGUUAUUAGUCAUUAGUCCCGUGGCUACACAGCAUUUGACCAAUGGGUUUACAAAAAUAAUUUCAGGUUUAAGAAGUGUUUCAACAUUAAGUCAACUACUGAUGAACGCAUUCAUUUUUAUUUAAAU